AGUGAACGCUGGCGGUAGGCCUAACACAUGCAAGUCGAACGGCAGCACAGUAAGAGCUUGCUCUUACGGGUGGCGAGUGGCGGACGGGUGAGGAAUACAUCGGAAUCUACUUUUUCGUGGGGGAUAACGUAGGGAAACUUACGCUAAUACCGCAUACGACCUACGGGUGAAAGCAGGGGAUCUUCGGACCUUGCGCGAUUGAAUGAGCCGAUGUCGGAUUAGCUAGUUGGCGGGGUAAAGGCCCACCAAGGCGACGAUCCGUAGCUGGUCUGAGAGGAUGAUCAGCCACACUGGAACUGAGACACGGUCCAGACUCCUACGGGAGGCAGCAGUGGGGAAUAUUGGACAAUGGGCGCAAGCCUGAUCCAGCCAUACCGCGUGGGUGAAGAAGGCCUUCGGGUUGUAAAGCCCUUUUGUUGGGAAAGAAAAGCAGCAGGUUAAUACCCCGCUGUUCUGACGGUACCCAAAGAAUAGGCACCGACUAACUUCGUG
rnacentral:rRNA from 1 species